GUUGGUUGGUCAGUCGGUCAUUGCUGCAAGGACUAUUAACUGGUAACUGCUCGGAUGCAGUCUUCUCAUGACUUACUUCUAUCUAAUAUAUAGUUUGUCUGUUAUGUAACCUAAGCUUGCCUUCAGGAACAACUGUGUAAACCUGAAUGAAUCUGAUAGCAAAGUAGUUUAUGUUAAUAUGAUUCAGAUUCAUGUGUGUUUUCUUUAAGAGGGACAGAAAGGGAUUAUCAACCAGGAAGGUAUAAUUAUUGAUAGGACUCAAAUGACUUAGCAACCCGCUUGUCACUGCAUAAACUCAAACAGGGGAUCAUUUAAACUCUGCUAAAUUAUAUAAACGUUCCCACAUAUAGCCUACAUAUAGUAAAGGUAAAGGUAAAGGGACCCCUGGCCAUUAGGUCCAGUCAUGGCCAACUCUGGGGUUGCGGCUCUCAUCUCACUUUAUUGGCCGAGGGAGCCAGCGUACAGCUUCUGGGGCAUGUGGCCAGCAUGACUAAGCCGCUUCUGGUGAACCAGAGCAGCGCACGGAAACACCGUUUACCUUUCCGCCAGAGCAGUACCUAUUUAUCUACUUGCACUUUGACAUGCUUUCGAACUGCUAGGUUUGCAGGAGCUGGGACUGAGCAACGGGAGCUCACCCCGUUGCAGGGAUUCGAACCGCCAACCUUCUGAUCGGCAAGUCCUAGGCUCUGUAGAGGUAUUUAAAAUGAGAGUCGUCGUAGUGUCCUCUUUUGUGCUCUUCAAAAUAUGGCAACCCUAUGGGCAUGGGCCUUGGCAGCUGUUGUCCUACAAUGCUAACCUCUAAUGCCAGCUUUGAGAGGAGAGAUUGUGAGCGGUUUCUGGGAAUGUGCUUAUUCUCAAUGUGUGGAGGCAGGGUGACUGUGCAGUGUGACGUCCUGGAAUUCCCACUGUUGCAUCAUGCUGAUAGGUGCUUUCCCUACAGGGGAAAGUAGUGUGCAAUGUUGGGUUUGGCGAGUAGGGGUAGAGUUUCUAAGGAUGGGUUGACAGAGGGGUUGCGUAUGCUAGCUUUUGCACCUAAGUUAUGUGCAGUUGACUGCGCUGUUGGGUGAGCCUGGGACCAUGAUGACAUUGGCCAACUUUGAUGCCAUUGCGGUAGCCACAUAGCACUGCAAUGCCAUAGAACAGGCAUAGGCAAACUCGGCCCUCCAGAUGUUUUGGGACUACAACUCCCAUCAUCCUUAGCUAACAGGACCAGUGGUCAGGGAUGAUGGGAACUGUAGUCUCAAAACAUCUGGAGGGCCAAGUUUGCCUAUGCUUGCCAUAGAAUUUCCAUACAGUAAAAAAAAAGGUGAAAGACUCCUGGAAGGUAAAGCCCAGUUAAAGGCGACUAUGGGGUUGCAACGCUCAUCUCCGCUUUCAGGCUGAGGAAGCCAGCGUUUGUCCACAGACAGCUUUCCAGGUCAUGUGGCCAGCAUGACUAAACCGCUCCUGGUGCACAGAGGACAGUGAUGGAAACCAGAGUGCACGGAAAUGCCGUUUACCUUCCUGCUACAGUGGUACCUAUUUAUCUACUCACGCUAGUAUGCUUUCAAGCUGCUAGGUUGGCAGGAGGUGGGACAAAGCAACAGGAGCUCACCUCCUCAUGGGGAUUCAAACUGUCAACCUUAUGAUUGGUAAGCCCAAGAGACUCGGCGGUUUAGACCACAGCGCUACCCACAUGCCAUAUGCAAUGCCAUAGAAUUGCCAUACCCAACAGGUGCAAACAAUAGGCCCCUUUCUUGCCUGUCUCUUUGUGUGUGUGCACAUGCAUGCACAUGCAUAAGUUUGAAUGGAUACGUGUCUAGAUAUAUUGGGAUUUAAGCUGAACUGAAUUUCUUCCUCAAGGCUUCUCAAGCCACAAUAAGUACUGUAUUGUAUAACAAGUGGCAGUGAAGGCACUCCCUCUUGUGGCCUAAGAGGGAAAUGGGAUUUGAGAGCCCAGUCAUUCAUGGGGUUUGGGGCAGCAACUACCUGACAGGAGAUCCUACUGAGGUUAUUAUAUUGAAUUGUUGCAAUAUCAUAUCAGCCAAUUGUUGCAGUAUCAUAUCAGCCAACAAUGCACCAUGUACUUGAUUGUAUUUGGUGUCUUUGGUUGUUAUUUACCAAGAGUUAAUUUGAAUAUGGGAAUAUGGAAAUGGAAUGAUAUUGGGUAACUAAUAUGUAUGACCAAGUUUUUGAGUAUUGAGUGUUACCAGUCCCUGUUUAUAUAAGAUGUACAGAUUAACUAAAUUGUUCCCCUUGGUUACAAAUUUCGAUAGAAAGUACGUAUAAUUUACAUGUAUACAUACAUUUAACAAUAAAAAAGUUUGUGUGUGUGUGUGUGUGUGUGUGUGUGUGUGUGUAAAUGCAACUGUAGAGACUAUCCCACCCCCAUUCAGAUUGGCUUUGGGAGAGAUGACUCAUCCUUUCCUUCUACUGUCCCCACUUUGAUCAGAAUAUCUCUGCUCCAUCUCCGGCUCCUUUAUUUACCCCCCAGGACAAAACAAACAGGUAUUAUAUGGGCAAGGGAGAAAGCAGCCUAGAGCUUUCUUCAGGGCAGGAGCAACAGCGUCACAAACCAAGGACCCAGAGAAAUUGAGUCCUCUUUGCUCCGGCAAGUGAACAAUAACAAGGCUUUCAAUGUUGGGACAAAUAAAGAUGAAGAAGGUUAAAGAAUGAGAAAAGCAAUCAAGCAGAUGCUAGAUAGCUUUUUAUUUUGCUUGAUGAUGUUCUGUACCCACAUCUGAAAUAGUAACUCUUAUUUCCAAGGUUUUCCCCCUGCCCCUUUCUUUUCAUUUUUAUCAAAAGCUAAAGGUUUCGCUUGAAAGAUCUUUCAUUAAAGGUCAACGGUUGCGCAACUCGAACAUAUUUCAAUAGAGCUUACAAGCCACUCCAAGGAAACUAUGCACAGGACCGCUGUCAUGUUGAUACUAAUAAAUUGGGUAUUAUGGUAUGUACCGCUGUCAUUUGGCUUGUGUCCUCAUGUCCUUAUGUGUAGUUAUAAAUAUAUUGAUGACAUUUAGAGAUUUGAGAAAGCAGCAGCUGUACACAGAAUGCCUCUUGCAUGUAAACAUGCUGAGAAAGUUAAUUAAAGGAAAUAUAUUGCUCAUAGGAAAGUUCCAAGUUCUGUCCAACUUGCUCUUUGUUGUCAGCAGGAUGGGCAUACAAAGAUGGCAGCUCUUCCAAGGUGAGGAUGAAGAAGAAAAAGAAGGGGAGGAGUAGGCAAUGAAGUCAGCAUCCCUGAGAGUCUUAGUCUAGCACCUAAGGCAGUGGUUCUCAAAGGGUGUGCUGCACCACAUUGGUGUGGUAGGAGAGGAUGGGAAGUGUGGCAGAGGUCCCAUUAUCACAUUAGAACAUGUUCUAUGUUCUAUGUUCUAAAUCAAGCACCAAUGUCUUCCAAUGAAUUUUUUUUUAUAAAAAAAAAAUCAGCUUGACACAAGCAAAUUUUUAUUCUUGAAAGCGUGGCCCUGAGAAAAAAGAUGGAGAACCUCUGACCUAAGGGAAGGUCAGCACAGGUUAAAGGACAGUAUAGUAAAUUUGGAAUGUAUAAUUUGUUGUUGGAGUGGCAUACAAAGGAUGAACAAGUUAAAUCGGUUAUGAUUGAUUGGGCAAGAGAUGUGGGACAUAAUAUAAUGAUGGGGGAUUGGGAGAGGCUAUGGAAGAAAGGGGUUAAGUUCACUGCAUGUUCACUGCAUUAAAGGAAAAUAUUAUGAAGAUUAUAUAUAGAUGGUACUUAACUCCUGUUAAACUAGCAAAGAUUUAUCACAAUAGUGAUAACCUUUGUUGGAAAUGUAAAGAAAAAGAAGGUAAUUUUUUCCAUAUGUGGUGGACUUGUCCCAAGGUGAAAGACUUCUGGGAGAAGAUUUAUAAUGAACUGAAAAAAAUGUUGAAAUAUACAUUUAUUAAGAAACCAGAGGCCUUUCUUCUUGGAGUAACAGGUUUGGAGUUGCCCGAGAAAGAUGUUAAAUUAUUUUUGUAUGCCACAACGGCCGCCCGAAUAUUACUUGCUAAAAAUUGGAAAACACAAGAACUACCAACAGUGGAAGAUUGGCAGAUGAAGAUGAUGGACUUUUUGGAGCUAGCUGACCUGACUGAAAGAAUCUGUGACCAGAAAGAAGAGGAGUUUCACGGGGACUAGAGGAAAUUUAAGGACUAUUUGAACAAAUAUUGUAAUAUAAAAAAUUAGAAAGUACUUGAAAGAAACAAAUAGGCCUGGGAUUAAACUAAGCUAUAAUUAAAUAAAUGGGAUUUAGACUAUUAAGAAAUGUGAAUAAGAUGGACUAUAAUUGGAAAUUGUUUUAGUUUAAUAAUGAUAUUGGAAAGCUGUUACCUUCAACUACAAGAAAACUCAGAAGGGAGGGACUAGAGGAAGUCAACCAAGAUGUUUAAAAGGUUGGAUUUGUAAAGAAUUAAGUUUGUUGUUAUUGUUUAUCUGUUUAUUGUUCCUUUUUUUCUUUUUCUUUUUUUCUUUUUCCUUUUUCCUUUUUUUGUUCAUUGAUGUAUUUUCUCUCCCUCCCCCCCCCCUGUUUUUGUGUAUCAUUCUGCUUUGUGGUUUUUGUUAUCACUGUGGAAAAUGUAAUAAUUUUUUUUAAAAAAGUAUAGUAAAUUUGGAGGUUCCUCUCACCAUCUCCUUUCUCCCUAUGCAGACCUACCCUCCUCUAGACAAGCUGAGUUGUAUCCCAGCAUGUUAAACACAUACCUCAACACAGCUGCCUGCAUUUUUUGACUUUCCUUCAGCUGUGGGGACUUCAGAAUUUACCACAGUGCCCCCCAACCACCACUCAGAAAGGAGAAUACUGCUGAUCUGCAGCAUACAAUGAACCUAUGAAACACUUUAAAACCUCUACUGGUCACUUAUGUAUCUAUUUUAUUAUGUCCUUCCCGGUGGAAGCUUUAGCGGCUGAGGGUUCUUCAAGAUGUGCAAAAUUCACACAAAAAAAUUGUUGCUAUCUUGCCCUUCCAGUGCAACUAUCCCAUCACUUUUCUAGCUACAAAUAGUCCAAUAAGAAAGGGAUGGAAAAUUGCACUGCGAAGUGCGGGAUAACAACCCCUAGCUGGCACAAACAUAUCAGGAUCAAUGUUCAGUAUACAGGCAACAUUGUAAGACCUCUGCACAAGUUUUGUGUGAACCUAUCAGCAUGAAUCCUCAGCAAAACACUGGUUUGGAAGCUCCCCGAGCCUUGGGAUACAUGUGGGGUCAAACCUAGAUCAAAUGGCACUGCAGCGCCAUUGGUACUCCCCCUCCAAGCAUAUUGGACAUUUAUUGGGGUGGCAGGGACCACUGAGACUGAAGGGGGUUGCCCCCUUACUACUAAUUUCAUGGCAUUGGGAC
rnacentral:lncRNA from 1 species